UGAGCAAUCUGCCCUUCUCUUUGGAAUAAGCGUUGGAAACGACGUCUAAUGCCGAAUACGACCUCCUUUCGCAUGAUCGGAGGUGGAAAGCUCCGGCGGAGAAGGAUGAGCUCGCGGCCUAUCAGCUAGUUGGUGUGGGUAAUGGCCCACCAAGGCGACGACGGGUAGCCGGCCUGAGAGGGUGACCGGCCACACUGGGACUGAGACACGGCCAAGACUCCGUACGGGAGNAGCG
rnacentral:rRNA from 1 species